GGGGAAUAUUGGACAAUGGGCGCAAGCCUGAUCCAGCCAUACCGCGUGGGUGAAGAAGGCCUUCGGGUUGUAAAGCCCUUUUGUUGGGAAAGAAAAGCAGCCAGUUAAUACCUGGUUGUUCUGACGGUACCCAAAGAAUAGGCACCGGCUAACUACGUGCCAGCAGCCGCGGUAAUACGUAGGUGGCGAGCGUUGUCCGGAUUUACUGGGCGUAAAGAGCGCGCAGGCGGCUGGUCAAGUCCGAUGUGAAAGCUCCCGGCUUAACUGGGAAAUUGCAUCGGAAACUGAUCGGCUGGAAGGUGGGAGAGGGUAGCGGAAUUCCCGGUGUAGUGGUAAAAUGCGUAGAUAUCGGGAGGAACACCAGUGGCGAAAGCGGCUACCUGGCCCAUUCUUGACGCUGAGGCGCGAAAGCUAGGGGAGCAAA
rnacentral:rRNA from 1 species